AAGAGCCCCUCCAUUCAAAAUUGUAUUUUUCUUAUGUUUAUGUCCCCUAAAAUGUGAGACCUUGACUAUACUGACUUGUACAUGUGACGGUUUGUCAC